rnacentral:lncRNA from 1 species
GGUGGCUCUAGCAUUCAUUUUCCUAUUUAGGUACGUACAAAGGUUGCUUCAACUAAAAGUCAUUGAUUAAAUUGUUGACUUUAUGGACUUUACCACCAAAAUUUAUUUUAGAAUCUUUCAUGGGUUUUGGUUAGGUCCCUAUGUUGUUAACUUCUCUUUUUUAUCUUGUAAAAAAAAAAUCUUCUCUUAUUAAGAAAAGGAAAUUUAGUAAAGAAACAAAUGUCUAGCUGGAUUGAACUUUCAGAUAGAAAGCUACUUCUUAUCAACCUUAUCUUAUAUGUAUUUUUCUAAAAAAUAGUCGCCUAUCAGCAUUUCACUAACAUUUAUUUUUCAGUACAAAAUUCCUCUUUUAUUAAUAAUAAUGCCGCUGUCGUAUUUAACUUUCUCAAUAUGUUUUGAAAUGUCAAGGAAUUAAACAUAGAAAUGACUUUAGGAUAUCAGAUAAGAAGCCUUAUUUUUAUCCCUGUGGCGGUGCUAAAAUAAAAAUCAGGUGGUUCACUAAAAUAAACUAUAAUUUAUAAACAUAAAAUUAAAGUUUAAUAAACAUUAUGCAAAGUGACGAAGUUUAACUAAAAAGUGAUAAGGGAUCAAAUAGAAGGGACUAAAAUGAGA